rnacentral:rRNA from 1 species
UACGUAGGGGGCCAGCGUUGUCCGAAGUUACUGGGCGUAAAGGGCGCGUAGGCGGGGAAGAAAGUCUGCUGUGAAAGCCCGGAGCUUAACUCCGGAGGGUCGGUAGAUACUUUUUCUCUUGAAGCUGCUAGGGGGAGAUGGAAUUACCGGUGUAGCGGUGAAAUGCGUAGAUAUCGGUAGGAACACCUGUGGCGAAGGCGGGUCUCUGGGCCGAUACUGACGCUGAGGAGCGAAAGCGUGGGGAGCGAACAGG